UACAGAGGUCUCAAGCGUUGUUCGGAUUCAUUGGGCGUAAAGGGUGUGUAGGUGGCGCGCUAAGUCGGGUGUGAAAUUUCGGAGCUUAACUCCGAAACUGCAUUCGAUACUGGCGUGCUUGAGGACUGGAGAGGAGACUGGAAUUCAUGGUGUAGCAGUGGAAUGCGUAGAGAUCAUGAGGAAGACCAGUGGCGAAGGCGGGUCUCUGGACAGUUCCUGACACUGAGACACGAAGGCCAGGGGAGCAAACGGG
rnacentral:rRNA from 1 species